rnacentral:rRNA from 1 species
AUUGAACGCUGGCGGUAUGCUUAACACAUGCAAGUCGAACGAUGAGAAAGAGCUUGCUCUUUCGGUUAGUGGCGGACGGGUGCGUAACGCGUAGGAAUCUACCUAUUAGUGGGGGACAACUUAGGGAAACUUAAGCUAAUACCGCAUACGCCCUACGGGGGAAAGAAGGGGAUCGCAAGACCUUUUGCUAAUAGAUGAGCCUGCGUAGGAUUAGCUAGUUGGUGGGGUAAAAGCUCACCAAGGCGACGAUCCUUAACUGGUUUGAGAGAAUGAUCAGUCACACUGGAACUGAGAAACGGUCCAGACUCCUACGGGAGGCAGCAGUGGGGAAUAUUGGACAAUGGGCGAAAGCCUGAUCCAGCAAUACCGCGUGUGUGAAGAAGGCCUUAGGGUUGUAAAGCACUUUCAAUUGGAAGGAAAACCUCGAAGCUAAUACCUUCGAGUUUGACAUUACCUUUAGAAGAAGCACCGGCUAACUCCGUGCCAGCAGCCGCCGUAA